GAGACUCUGUGCGCGUCGCAUAUCAAUAAGCGGAGGAAAAGAAACUAACAAGGAUUCCCCUAGUAACGGCGAGUGAAGCGGGAAGAGCUCAAAUUUGAAAUCUUAAAGGGUUUCCCUUUACGAAUUGUAGUUUAAAGAAGUGUUUUCUGUUGGAGUUUCGGUAAAAGUUCUUUGGAAUAGGACAUCAUAGAGGGUGAGAAUCCCGUAUUUGACCGUUACUUUCCAGCUGUGUGAUACACUUUCAAAGAGUCGGAUUGUUUGGGAAUGCAGUCCAAAAUGGGUGGUAAAUUUCAUCUAAAGCUAAAUACUGGCGAGAGACCGAUAGCGAACAAGUACCGUGAGGAAAGAUGAAAAGAACUUUGAAAAGAGAGUUAAACAGUACGUGAAAUUGUCAAAAGGGAAGCGUUUGACACCAGUGUUGUUUUCUCGAAAAUCAAUUAAAAAUGAUGGGAUUUUGUGUUGUAUUGACUUUAUCAGCUUUCUGCACUUUUUUCCUAUCUUUUUUAAUGCACUUUUCGUUUAACAAGUCAACGUCAAUUUCUUUUGCUGUAAAAGAGUCAUUGGAAGGUGGCUUUCUUUUCGGAGAAAGUGUUUAUAGCCUUUGACUUCUGCAGUCGGAGAGAUUGAGGUCUGCAGCGUAGAUCCUUCGGGGUUAGAUACAUUUGUGCUAAGCUAUAGCCUUUCAUAGACAACUUGUUGACUAUGAUCAGUCAUGUAGCUUACUCGCUUAUGCUAUUUUACCUACGCUUAGGAUGUUGAUCUGUAGUGCGUGCGC
rnacentral:rRNA from 1 species